GGGCCGGUGGUCUAGCCUGGUCUAGGAUUCGCGGCUCGGGCCCGCGAGGUCCCCGGUUCAAAUCCGGGCCGGCCCACCA
rnacentral:tRNA from 1 species